UAGCAAUAUUAAUAAGGCUAGACCGGCGCACGGGUGCGUAACACGUAUGCAACCUACCUUAUACUGGGGAAUAACUUCGAGAAAUCGGCGCUAAUACCCCAUAACAUUGCGAAAUGGCAUCAUUUUGCAAUUAAAGCUCCGGCGGUAUAAGAUGGGCAUGCGUCCAAUUAGCUAGUUGGUGAGGUAACUGCUCACCAAGGCUACGAUUGGUAGGGGUUCUGAGAGGAUGAUCCCCUACACUGGUACUGAGACACGGACCAGACUCCUACGGGAGGCAGCAGUGAGGAAUAUUGCGCAAUGGACGAAAGUCUGACGCAGCCAUGCCGCGUGCAGGAUGACGGCCCUAUGGGUUGUAAACUGCUUUUGUAUGGGAAUAAACCCUUCUACGUGUAGAAGGCUGAAGGUACCAUAAGAAUAAGCACCGGCUAACUCCGUGCCAGCAGCCGCGGUAAUACGGAGGGUGCAAGCGUUAUCCGGAUUUAUUGGGUUUAAAGGGUCCGU
rnacentral:rRNA from 1 species